rnacentral:misc_RNA from 1 species
AACCAUUCUCACCUGCGGCUAGACCUGCGGAGGGAUCAUUACAGAGUUGCAAAACUCCCUAAACCAUUGUGAACGUUACCUAAACCGUUGCUUCGGCGGGCGGCCCGGGUCCUUCCCGGCGCCCCUCGGCCCUCGCGGGCGCCCGCCGGAGGUAAACCAAACUAUUGCAUUGUAUGGCCUCUCUGAGUCUUCUGUACUGAAUAAGUCAAAACUUUUAACAACGGAUCUCAGAUCGGAAGA